CCCUUUGGCUAGUGUAGAAAUCUGAAGAUACCUUAAAGACGUAUUUACAAAGCUAAGCAGGUUGAGCCCUGGUUAGUACUUGGAUGGAAGGCCACCAAUGAACAGCAGGUGCUGUAGGAA
rnacentral:rRNA from 11 species